CACCCCACCCCCGCCCCGUGACGCCGGGGAAACGGACCUGUGACCCCUGCCUGCCGAGGGUCGCUGAACUUUCUGGCGGCGCACAGGAGGCGCGGGCGCGGAAUCCCUCUGACAAGCGAAAACCCGACGGGCGUGAGAGAGGCGCCUUGCAGAUUUCAGUGACCGAAGCACCCCAUCCAGGGAGCAGCAGGAACCAAGGGCCUGCAGACGAAACAUACCGGGCGCGUCGGAGGAGCACAGGGGAGCCCAAACUCGAAAGUGGGUCCUGUACUGAAUCACCUCCCAAGGCAAAGAAGGCCAUCCUGGGACUGCUGGCUUCUCAAGUCACUGCCAACCGAUCAGGCCAGCUGGAGCCACCAACUAGGCUUAGAGCUUUGAUCUGCAAUCAAGUUGUACCAAACAGGUUGGAAAACCGCCUGAUCGCUCCCUGAUACUCCAAAAACACUGAAAAAUGUUCUAACAAGGAGACCACGUUGGGACAAACUGACAGGAACCUCUUUGCGGGGCUAAUAACCCCCUAUAUAGACGUCCUAGAAUUCCUGUUUCUGACUCGUGAUUAGUUGAACGUCCUCCCGUGGGUGUGCAUUUGCCUUUAACUCCUCUGCUCACUCCCCAGAUCACCAUACUCCAGGGAAGUGUGACUCCCUUGUGAGUUCAUGGAGAAGCUAAGGUGGUCAGGGACCUCUGGCCAUUGAAGUAUCCCUCGGGCACUGUGAAGUACCUGUAACAGUCCUAGAGUCCACAGAGAAGGAGUGAGAUGAGUCCUGGGAAGGAAAGAACUAAGAGAGAAGGUUUGCCGAUGAUGCAAUCAAGGGAACCGCAAUCAGGCGGGAAGUAACUUUUCACUUUUCUUGGUGUCGUUCUCUACGCCAGUUUCUUAUGAUAGCCGUUUGCUACCUAAUGCCCACCCCAACUACCCGAUCGUCCCAGGAGAGCGGUAGUGACGAGGUGAGCCCCAUCUGUAGCAUCCUAGACAAAGGCAGAGAUUCUCCUAGUUCUUAAUCACUCGCUUUUCUGCCUGAGCGCCCCUUCCCCAUCUGUGAUCAUACCUCUCCUCAACUUUCACAUAAGCCCUGGCUUUAUUUCAUAUACUCCUCACAGCGCCUGCACAGACACCACUCUUCUCCCUUCUCAUAGGGGAGGAAAUAGUGACUUGCCCAGACCACGGAGUGAGGCACCUGCACUCCUGACUCAGCCAUACCCCCGCCUCGUCACAGUGGGAGCACUGCUCCUUCGACAGGCACUCGUCACCACCUGAAUGUUUCCCCCACUGUUCAUCCUCCCCUGAGAGGUCAGAAAAAUAGAGGGUGUUUCACUUCUGGUCUAAAACUAACAAAAUGCUUUCCCUUGAUUCAAUCCUUUUCUAUUCUAUGACGUGUUCCUUUUUUGUACCUUUGACCUUUCGUUCUGGACUCACUCCUUUUCAUGAACAAACAUAUGGUCCUUUUCACCCCCUUGUGCAAAAUAAUAUUUUCCAUUUCAGUGAUUUAUUUAGCAGAAUGCUGAUGCCAUGAAACUCAGACUCUGGAAGGGGCGAUGAGAUAUGGAUUAGUGUUGCAUGGACAUUAGAUGCACAGAGUUCAAGGAGGGAGAGAGUGCUUAUCACCAGAGAGGUGGUAGGUUUUCGUAGAGGACCUGGGCUAGAAGACUAGCCUUCUGGGUGUCUGGGAGAACUUCUGGGAGAACUUCUGCAGGCAGAAAUUGGAAAGGGGGCACCAAGCAGGGUGAACACCAUAAGAAAAGGCAUAGAGGCAGGACAGCCUACAGAAUACCUGGCAAAGGGUGUGUGACCAGUUUGGGUGGGCACAGGGAACACUGGGGAGAGGUAGAAGGUGAGGUUUUAUCCUAGGAUAAAACCUCAUAGGUAACAGGUAGGAACGUGGCAUUGGGCAAUGUGAAUUGGGGAGAUUAUUCUGGUGGCAAAGUUUAGGAUAGAUCAGAAUUCGGUACACUGAAGGUGGAAAGGACUAGUUGAGAGGCUACUGCAAUAGUCCAGGUAACAACUACUAAAUUCCUGUUCUGUCCUCGAAUAGUAACAACAGCAUCGGGAAAAAACUCGGAUGUUUGAGAGACAUUUUAGAGGUGAAAGUCACUGUUGUUCGGGGCAAAGGGAAGGGGAACUCAAAGAUAUCUUAGCCUGAGCGCAUGUAAUGUGAAGAUGAUGAUGUUGAACAGAAACAGAAAGUUAUAAAGAUGAGCAGGCUUAUAGGAGUAGGGCACGAGUUCGGUUUUGACCAUGUUGAGGUACAGCUGUCAGUGGGACAUUCCUGAUGAGACCGAAUCCAGCAGGCAUGUUGAAACCUGGCAACUCUGGAAAGCAGUCAGAGUUGGAAAUACACAGUCGAGAACAUUUUGCACGUAACCAGAAGUUCUUAGAAAGUGCAGAGCGUUUAGCAAGGGUGCAAGUGGGAGGGACGUGAGAUUGAAUAGAAACCAUGUUGUAUUCACCCCCUCAACCCAACCCCCUUUCUUGCGUGCGAUGGGGGCUCAAGAAAUAUCAACGAGAUAAAUGAAUUGUGAGAUGCUCAUUGUAUGUUUGCUAAGUUAAUAAAGGAAAGAAGUAAAUAAAAAACCCAAAUGACGGGUGAUGAA